rnacentral:tRNA from 1 species
GCGCCCAUCGUCUAACGGUUAGGACACAUCCCUUUCACGGAUGUAAUACGAGUUCGAUUCUCGUUGGGCGUACAA